GGGAAGAUGGCUCAGUGGUAGAGCGCUGACCUUGCAUGCCUGAGGCCCUGGGUU
rnacentral:tRNA from 1 species